GAUGAACGCUGGCGGCGUGCCUAAUACAUGCAAGUCGAGCGAACGGACGAGGAGCUUGCUUCUCUGACGUUAGCGGCGGACGGGUGAGUAACACGUGGAUAACCUACCUAUAAGACUGGGAUAACUUCGGGAAACCGGAGCUAAUACCGGAUGAUAUUUUGAACCGCAUGGUUCAAUAGUGAAAGACGGUCUUGCUGUCACUUCUAGAUGGAUCCGCGCUGCAUUAGCUAGUUGGUAAGGUAACGGCUUACCAAGGCAACGAUGCAUAGCCGACCUGAGAGGGUGAUCGGCCACACGGGAACUGAGACACGGUCCAGACUCCUACGGGAGGCAGCAGUAGGGAAUCUUCCGCAAUGGGCGAAAGCCUGACGGAGCAACGCCGCGUGAGUGAUGAAGGUCUUCGGAUCGUAAAACUCUGUUAUUAGGGAAGAACAGAUGUGUAAGUAACUGUGCACAUCUUGACGGUACCUAAUCAGAAAGCCACGGCUAACUACGUG
rnacentral:rRNA from 1 species